rnacentral:rRNA from 1 species
AGCGAACGCUGGCGGCAAGCUUAACACAUGCAAGUCGAACGAUGUAGCAAUACAUAGUGGCGGACGGGUGCGUAACACGUGGGAAUCUGCCUUUAGGUAAGGAAUAACUCAGGGAAACUUGAGCUAAUACCUUAUAAUGUCUUCGGACCAAAAAUUUAUUGCCUAAAGAUGAGCCCGCGGUAGAUUAGCUAGUUGGUGGGGUAAUGGCCUACCAAGGCAACGAUCUAUAGCUGGUCUUAGAGGAUGAUCAGCCACACUGGGACUGAGACACGGCCCAGACUCCUACGGGAGGCAGCAGUGGGGAAUAUUGGGCAAUGGACGAAAGUCUGACCCAGCUAUGCCGCGUGAAUGAUGAAGGCCUUAGGGUUGUAAAGUUCUUUUACCGGGGAAGAUAAUGACGGUACCCGGAGAAAAAGCUCCGGCUAACUUCGUGCCAGCAGCCGCCGCGG